UUGACCAGUAAUGAAAACAAAAAAAGAAAAGAAAAAGAAAAGAAAUGGUCUGAGAUGCCACCAUGAGUUUGGCAAGUUGAGGUGAGCCUUAAGAUAAAGUUAAAAGUCUGGCAUCUCAAGGAAAGAAGAAACAGAAGAUUUGGAGAGGAAAAUCACAUGAGCUGAGCCUGAACACAGAAAAGCCCAAGUCCUAUUGGGGAGGCAAAGAAAGUAUUCAGUUGGCUGGGUCUACUCUCUUGAAGAUAGUUCAAAGUUGCUGAGGCCUAAGCUCCUGACUUUUUAUAGAUGAUCUGUUAUCUAUAAAAAGUGACGUGUUACCCUCGUGAGACAGUCUGCCUAUUAGCCUUCCUCUCCACUUUCACGGUGGCUGACAACUUUGCCUUCCUCUUCACCCACAAUGGCAGACCCUGUUGACUGGCUAAAGCAAUAGCCAUUCCUAACCCCUACUUAGUUGUUGCCUCUCACAACAAAGGCUAAUAAGCUAGUUGUUUAUUUUCCUGGACUCCCUCAAAGGCAGAGACAUUCACAUGGCUCCAUUCUGGCUGAUGAGUCAAAAAAAGAAAAGUCCGCUGUGGGCUUCUGAGAAAACAGAUAACAGAAAUGAAGGAAGAAGAAAUUUUGCUUCCUUCUUCUUGCCUUGACUGAGUACAUGAUAUGUGGACCUCUUGAAGCCAUCUUGUAAUGAAGAGAUGACAAGGAGAAAUAUGAAAAGCCUAUACAGCAGCAAAGACAGAGUAAAAUAAAUGGAAUGAGGUUAUAAUGAUAUCGCUAAAAUCAUUCAACCCUAACUCCAGAAAUUUUGUUGUACCAGUAAAUAAAUAAAGAUCCCUUCAUGUUAAGGCACCAGUAGUUAACACCAUUUUGUUACUUGCAGCCAACAGUAUUCCUAACUGAUUUACCUGCCCUCACCCUCAUUAAGUUCCAAGUCUACAAGGCUGUUUCAAGAGAUGCCAUAUUCUAAUCACCAUUAGAUGAUUAGCAGGUCAAGGAUGAGGCCUUGACUCAAGUCCUUUCCUGGGAUCUUACAACCUGCAUCUGAGAAGAAAUGUCAGCUCUGUCACAUGGCUUAAGUCAUAUAAAAUGUCACACUUAGGUGGUCAGCAGCUACGCUUUUUGCACUGAAUAGAAAGCCUAUCUACAAUGAGAAAGUCAGGAGUCAACAUGCACAGAGAAGCACAGAUGAAACACAGAAAGAAAGUCCCAGUGAGGCUCAAUUCCCUGGUGCCGGCUGUUCCUGAGCCAUCUGCAUUUGUGCUCUUUCUACAGUUUUAGAAAAGCACAGCUGAUACUUCUCACUUCCUCUCACCUUGCACAUGGAUAUACUAUUUGGAGCUACAGAAGUCAUCUUGCCACCCUCAGGACAAAGUCAAGGGAAUCACAGAGAUUACAGCUCUGACAACUUAGAGCUCCUGAGCCCACAACAUCCAUCAGUAGCCACCAAUCUUCAGACGUAUUAGUCUUCAGACAUCAUCGUUUCUACUUACAGAAUUGAAGAAUGAUACACUGAAAUAUUAAGUAAUUUUUCAGACACCACACACAGCUAUGAAGUUUCUAAGCCAGGAUUCCAACUCAGAGUUGUUUGAUUUGAAAGCUCGUUCUUUUCACCACUUGUGAAGACUGACUCAAUGAGGCUAAACCAAGAAAAGAGCUGUCAAAGACAACACGGGUUUGCAAGCCCAGCAAAUGAGAAAAUCUGUAUCAGCUGAAUCCAUUUACCAGUUUACCCAUGAGUUUGUAGUAUGGGCCAGAAUAAAAAGCCUUGCUAAUGUUGGUAAUAGAUGAGUUCUUUCUAAAGUGCCUUCACAAGAAUUAUCAAUGCUGCCACUUUUUGUCACAGGAGAUUGGAUUCUCCUCUAUAAAGCCAAAAUGGUUACCAGCCAGUGUUCUAUUUCCUUUAAGAUGCUUGCAAAUUUAUUCACAAAGGAGACCCAUGUUCUAAGAUAGGGUGGGGGAAAGGUUGUUUAAACCAGUUAUGAGUAAGAAAAGGCAUCUCAUGAAAGAAAAUGCCUCCAUUUGGAAUUGAGAAGGCCACGUUUGGGAUCAGAAAUGAUUUUUAAAAGAGUAGGAAAACACCUCCACAUUGUGAUUUAAAGAUCAAGAAAUAGAUCAUUUAAUUUUCCCCAGAGUACUAUAUUGCACUUAGCCUGAUGCAUACCAUAAGAUGGAAGAAAGGGAAAGCACUUUGUACCAGACAGAAUAUAUUUAAAUACCAACUCCACCACUAACUGUGCCUUAGCCUCCAAAACUCAAUGAGCAUAAUGAGAUAAAAGAUACAGAAAAUAUUAGAUCAUUACCUGGCCCUCCUAAGUGCUAGAUAAGUGGUGUUGCUAAUAUCAAUGACAACAAUUAUAAAAGCAAUGACAACAGCCCAGAAGUACUUCAUCUAGAUGAUGACUAUGUUAACACUGUGGGCAAAAGAAGUGGUUGGGAUAUAUGCAACUUAAAGUAUUACUAGGAGCAGUGAUAUGAAUGUAAGUUCGAGGACAUUUUGUAUAAACAAAGCUGACUACUUCCUACGAAAAGGUUGGUAUCCUGAGACCCUCCCAUUACUUCAGAAUAAUCCUCAAAAAGGAUAGUGGGCUUUGAUGUUUAUCAGCCCAAAGUGGUGCCACCCCCCCCCCACUCCACGUACCAAUAGUAGAAACAGUUUACAAUGCACUCAGUCAUCAACUUUGAAAUUAUGUGAUUCUGGUUAAAAAUUUUUAUUAUAGGACGGGGUUCACAUUGUUCUGAAUUUUACUUAUAAAGUGAAGUAACAUUAACUGUUGUCACAAAAUUUCAAAUAUAUGUGAUUCCAGUUCUUAUAAAAUGUGGCUGUUCCAAUGUAGGCCAAGUUCUGAAGUCUGGAAUGGAAUCUCAGGUAAAGAUGGUUGCCUUUCUAUAAAAUCCAUCCCAACCAUCGCUUCUAGAGAAUACACUUGUGUCUGGGAAGCAGCUGCCUCACGAGUAAUCACAUUUUCCAGCUGCCUUGGACCAGCCAUUGCCAUGUGAUUAGUUCCCUCCAGUAGAAUAUAAGUGGCAUUUCCAUCCCCACACCCUUACCCCUGACCAGAUGCAGAUGAUAAUUUGGCCAUCAAAGAACCCAAAGAUGGGAGGAGUGUGGGUGCCUGAAUCACUGCAUGAAAAAAAAGCCACCAUUGACCACAUCCUGGAUUGUGACAUGAGUUAGAAAGUUCUAUUGUGCGUGAGACAUCAUAUACCUUUAGAAUUUUUUUAAUAGUUAAAUCUCAUAUAGAUUCCAUAGAGGGAAGUUACAUUAAAAAAAAAAAAAGAUUUGAGUUAAUAAGACCCCAGUUGCGAUACUAAUAGCAAGAGACAAAAAGAAAAUCUAGAUACAUGUUAUCACAACCCUUUAAGAGGAUUUUUAAAAAUUGAACAACCACCAUCCAUUACACUAUCCAGUCAGUGUAUCUGACAGGUGUUAUUAACAGCAAUGUGUGUGUGUGUGUGUGUGUGUGUGUGUGUAUGCUAAGCUUUACAUCCCUGCUUAUAUGAAAAGCCUCGGUUAGUCAUGGUUUCCAUAGGUUUAGAAAGAAUUUUUAACUGAAGUUUCUAUCUCCAUGCAAAUGAAAAUUAAGGGCAGGUAGUUAUUUGCGGAAUCUUUCCCAUAGGAGCCCACCUCUAAGAGGGCCCCAGUGAUUCUCACCUCUUGAUAUUCAUACCCCUGUACUGUCCAUGUAGGGUAGGUACUGCAAACAUGACAGGUGUGAUUUCCAAAGCUAGAUAAUAAAAUACAUGUGGCUUCUCCUUUUCUUUCACUUGAAUCACUUGUCC